rnacentral:lncRNA from 1 species
CUUUUCCUGUGCCACAGCAACCAAGAAGGUCACAUGUUCCAGAAGCUGCAGCUAUAAGCCACCACGUAAGAUGUUCCUUUGCUCUUCCUUCAUCUUCCACCAUGAUUGUGAGGCCUCCCCAGCCAUGCUGAACUGGGGUAACCACCACAGGCCCACAGGCUAAAAUUGAGCUGGAGUAAGUGGCAACAGAGAGUAUUUAUUGUCCCCUAAGAGCCCUGAUCCACUGACUCACACCUGCCUCUCUGCUUGUCCAGAGAGGUACAGAGAAGUAAUGACUUGGACUUGAGGAAGGCCCUUGUAGGACAUGUGAAUGCCAGUGCUCAUGGAGAAAGGUGGAGGAAGAGAGCCAGAGUGCAGUUCACCUCUGGGAGAGCAGACCAGAGUGGCUUCCGUGGGCACAUGCUGGAUUGAAGUGAGAAGACGUGACUACUAAAGUUGAGGCCCCAAGUCUCAGCUUCUUCCCCCUCCAAAGCAUGAGUGGAGGAUUCACUUAAGGCCACUUUGGGGAUCAAACAUAGGCACCUGCCUGUCCAAGGGGGUCUAAGUCACAGUACAGAAGUGGUUUGCAAAGGCUGGUGGGAUGGUGUGGCAGGCCUGUGGAGUUGAAUAAAAAUCCUGAUGUCCUUCCUGGCAUGAAGAAUGGAGCUGCCAAGCUGCCCCCAGGAGAAGCGUGCUGCCUAUGCAUCUCACUGGACUUCUGUGUACAGAAGAAAUAUUGGUGGUUUGACCAAACGCUCGGGCUCCCCACGACUCCCGUUGUUAUAUGGGAAAGAACAAGGUCUGGCCCACCUCUCUAAACCUUUAUAAAGGAGCCAGCUGGUGCCUGCCACUUUGUUGCCCACUGGAGAAGACUGGCUGCAUGCAUGUCAUGCACCAUAUCCCAGCAGCAAAGGCCCUGAUUUUUUUUUUUUAUCAGCUGUAGUUCAUUUGUAAAUUAUUAACCUCUCAAGAGCCAAUAUUUGCUCAGGGCCUUCCAGUCCAUCUCAAGUGUCGAUACUGUGCUUGGGAGAUUGCGGGGGAGGAUGGUGCAGGGAGCUCGGUCUGACACGCUGUUGUUGGGGAGGAAAAUGCUCUUUGUCUAGCAAGAGAGGAGGAUCUGACUCAGCAGCAGUAGAACCUCAGGCCAGCCCUUUUCCCACCUGGGGCUGAGGAGACUCAGCCAUGUGAGAGUCCACAUAGAAGCAGGGGUCCUCAGUGCUCUCUAACCACAUUGAGAGUCUACUCUGCCCCAAACCACUCCACUAUGCCAGGCUGAGGCUUUUUAGGCCAAUAUAUAUCUAAGGAUAAAAUGAAGGGAGUUCUGGAUGAUGCAUUAAGAACACUCCUGAGACAUUAGAGCCUUGCUUUGGAUUUGAAGAGGGGAACUUUACUUGUCACCCUGGGUGAAGUCAAUUCCUCUGUGAAUCUCCCCAGUGAGACUGUGGGUACCUUAGGAGAAGAGACAGUGACUUAUUCAUCUCAGAAUCCUCAGACUAGAAUAAGGCCUGGGAUUUAUCAGGCAUUCAGUAAAUUCUUGCUGAAUGAGCAAUUAACUUGAGGUCUUCAGGGUUCCUGGGACCAAAGAGUUGGCCUUUAUAAAAGCACAUUCGUAAUUCAAUCUGUACAAGUAGUACAAUUCAGUAUGGUAUGUUACAAGUCAGUUAUUGAAUAUUACACAUUGCCACAAUGAUCUGUCAGUAAUAAAGACACAGUCCAGAAAAUAUUCUCUCUCGUAGGUCACAACAGUUGACCAGUUGACUCCAAUGAUCUCAUUAAAUAGCUUGAGGUUGAAAAUAACCUAGUGUUUCUCUUACCCAAUACACUAUUUGCUGAUUGAACAACAUAAAGUUUCCAAAAGUGGAAAGGGCAUUAUGAGGAAAGGUAUUAAAAUAAAGCUAUCAUCUUAACUUUUAAUAAAACUGUGUACAAUACUGAAGAUACUUUAUAGCAAGAUGAAAAAAUUAGAGUCCUUGGUGUUGUGCAGAUGAAUUCUAGUCCCAGCAUUAUUCCAUAAUAUGUACCUUGGGCAAAUUAACAACUCUGAGACUCAGUUUUCUCAUCUUUAAAAUGGGGAUACUCUAUCUACCUCUUAAAGUUAUUGUGAGGACUGAAUGAGUUAAUACUUGGAGAGGACUCAGAGCAGGGCAUAGUUAAGGACUCAGUAAGAGCUAACUUUACUAACAUCGCUACCAUCACAAAUAAUAAGUAAGAAAACGUACCUUGAGGAUCUUGCAUAGUACCUGGCAUAAAAUAGGCUCUUAAGAGAUGAAAGCCAAUUAGUACUAGUAAUUAGAGUUUAAAAUGAUAAGAUUUUAAGGCAUGUAGAAAACAAGAAUAUCUUGUGUUUCUGGCAACCAAAGUUAUUCUAUUCCAGGCCAUGGGGAUCUCCUAUUUCUCCAGAAAUAUGGAGGCUACAAGAGAGAACUAACAUUUAUUGGGCACUUACAUUGUACUAGUUACUGUGCUAGGGGCUUUAAAAACAGUUUUUCCAUUUAAGCAAAUAAUCCUAAUAUUUUAGAUAAUUUACCUGAAACCCACCGAGAUGACGUAUUUCUCCAAUGGUUACAUUAGCUAAUACUGGUAGGACUAAGAUUUCAACCCAGAUAUGUUUGGACUCUAUAGCCUGUAUGCUUUCCACUUUUCAGAAACUUAUAAACAAAACAGAGCAAAAACUUUCUGGAACUCUCUGGAGCCCUUGGCUGUUCUCUGGACCUUCCUUUGCUGUGUCUUGGGGCAGGCACAUCUUGGCUUAGGCUGAGCUUUUCUAUUUGCCAAAAGAGUCAUCUCAGAGGGCACAGCCUGGAGUGCAGCUCAACAAACAUAUGUGUAACAGCCGAGUGCCACCACGUUAAGAACUGGACUUACAAGAUGGAUAGGACCUGGUGGCAGCUGUCCUUGAGGAAGCCAGAGCCUGGAGAGACAGAUCUCAUGUAAUUACUUAAUCCCCAUGAAAUGGUGGGAGGUAAAGGGCAGGAAUGUGCACAGGGGGCUGCAGGAGCACAGAGGAGGACACUAGGGGAGUCUGGACUUUGAAGGAAGAUUUCCUGGAAGAGAAGAUGCCAGAACUGAGUGUUGAAAGUUUAGUAAGAGCCAGCUGAAGAAAAGUGAGAGGAGGGUUCAGGAGAGGGGAGAGCAGGAGCAAAGACACAGAGAUGAGAGAUAGCAUAUAGUGUCAUGGAACUCCAGGCCAUUCAGAUUUAUCAAAGUGGAAAGUGCAAUGCAGAAGUGAGUAGACAGAGAUCAAGCAGAAGGGGCAGGCAAGGCCAGGGCUCAGAAGUCCUUAUAUGCAUGUCUGGGAGUUUGAACCUUAUCCUGAACAUGCUGGCAGAGGAGUGAUAGGUAGGAAGCUUGGAGUUGAGGUGAGCAAGGCUGGAGGUAAGGGGUUAUGGGUGGCUAUUGUCCAGGGGAAAAGAUGAUGAAGGCAGUGAUAAUGGAAAUAGGGCAGAAUGCAGAGAUGCAGGAAAUGUUAGGAGGCUAAGCCUUCAGGAUUUGCUGGUUAAUUGGGUGUGGGAGAGAGGGAAAGAGAGGUUCAAGAAUGAUUUCCAAGAAUUUUGCCUUAGACAACUAGGAUUGAUGGUGCAAUUAACAGAAUGUUAAGAGGAGAAGAAAGCUUACGAGAAAUGUAAAGCAUCAAUUGUUGUACUUAUUGAAUCUGGGGUGCUUGUAGGACACCUGAGUGAGAUUGGAAGUGCAGGGGGCAGUGUACCCUGAGGCUAAAACUAACAGCCACAUCCAAGCUCAGAAAUUAGCAAUGACUAUGAAUGUCUCUUCUUAACACUACCUGCCUCACUUUCUUACUCUCUAUUUACAGGUUAUAGCAGAGUACCAAUAUUCUGCAGAAAACCAAAACCUCACCUGCAUUCCUACUCCUAUCAUGAUGUUCUGCCCCCCGGGACCCUUGUUUAUGCUGGUCUCUCCUUUUGAAAGAACGUUACCCUUUUCUUCACCCAGCAAAUUCUUACUCAGACUUCAAGACUCAGUUCAGAGUCUGGGGAUGAAUAUUCUACAAAUGGCCCCCAGGAUUGUCAUGGUCCUCACGGCAGGUGAUUUGCUCUUGAACAAUUAACAGAGUGAAGGCUGUGUUCCAUCUCCUCACAGUCUCCCGCUGGGCAUCCUUGGGAGCACAGGAGGAGAAAGGCUUUCUUCUUGAUCCUAUUACUGCUGCCCAGCAUCAAGAAGGAUUAAUUAACCCACCAGGUUUUGCUUCAUUACGAGGAAAAAAGAAAAGCCAGUGACAGUGGAAUUCAAACAUUGAACAGGCAAAGGAAUCAGUGCUCAAGCACCUUAUGAACAUUUCGAAGACUUAGCUGGGCGGUGUGGCGCAAUGUAAAGUAGGGUGACUUGGUGCAAGUUACACACCCCUGCAGCCCUGUUUCUUCAUCCUCAGAGUUCACACUUCAAUUCUACAAAUUGAUGGCCUAUUCUGAGCUAAGCCCCGCCCACUCUGAACUAAGCCCCGCCUACUUUGAUUCCCUACUCUGAGCUAAGGAACAGUCUUUCAUCCCCAUGAAAGCUUUCUGUCUAGAAGGAACUAAAGAGCAUAAUUAUACUUAUUUUCCAGUGCUGUUGUUAGAAUUAAUUAAAUGUGGUAUAGCAUGUGAAAGUACUCUGUAACUAAACAUUGUAUAAAUGUUAAUUAUUCUCAUUUUCAUAUUUGAUAUUCAGGCAUUCAAACAAUUAUUGAGCACUUAUUAGGGCAAAGAACUAUACUUGCAGCUAACAGUUACGUGAAAGAAUUCGAAGACAUUGUUUUUGCUGUUUAGGAAGGUCCCACAUGGCAAAGCAAUUAAGACACACACAUGAAAUAAUUAAACAACAAAGUUGGGCCUAAAGAAGUUUCAUCUCACGUGCUAAUCAUGGCUGGCUGGCUAUGGCUAUCUAGAGUAUUAUGCUGAAAAUGAUUCUGAAGCUCUUUCUGGGCUCAAUUGAAAAGGAUGAUCUGGUGGAUUAGCAAUGAAUGCCAUGGGCAUAAGUUGGGCAUGUAGUGGUACGUGGACUAGUUGUUUAUAGUGCCUAAUACAAGGUAGCAAACAUAAUGAUAAAAGUAACUGUUAUUGAAAUUCAGCCAAGAUUGGUAUCAGUGUAGGCUUGUAUGACUGACAAAGAAUGUAGAGGAGCUAAAGAGUAAGCUUGACCUUGAAUUACGAGUAGGACUUCAGUGAAGAUAGGAGGCUAUUUCAGAAUGCAGGGCAUCUGGUAGGGAGUAGUGGAUGGUGGAGAGUAAGGAACUCAGUACUUGAUUCAAAGCCUGGGUCUCCCAGAAGUGAGCUGUGUGGCUUGGGCCACUUUAUCUCCUGAGGUCUCAGAGUUUUCAUGUAUAAAAUUGUAGAACUUGUCUUGAUGGUUUUGAACAUUCUUUCUAAUUCUGCACAACAGUCCAUUUGUGGGUUAGAUGAGCCUUUACCAAACUGUAUUUCAUGGAACAAUGGUCCCAAGAGCUGUUCUGUGAAAAGUAAGUUUCAUCAUCAAAUAAUUUUGAGAAAUUCUGAAUCCUAUAUACGUGUUGAUUCCUAUUUCUUUCCUUCCAUUCUUUCUUGAGUCCACUCUGAUUGGUCCUUAAAGUUGGAGUUUAUUUUUAUCAUUAUUGUUAUUGUCAUGGUAGUAAAGAUGGACAAAGGCAGAUUCCACAAACAUCUCAAAAUAAAAGUCAAUAGGACUUGGUGAUUAAUUGCAUAUAGGCAAUGCAGGAGAGGGUCUAAGCAAAGAUGUCAAGUAUUUCAAACUAGAAAAUGAAUAGAAUAAGCCAGGGAAUUAUUGAUGGACAAAAGAAGUUGAACCAGGUUGGUGGACAUGGAGCAGGGGUGCGGAGGGAGAAUACCAUCCUGCAGGCUAGGUACCUCAUGGGUACAGGAAGAGAUGCAUCUAGGUUACUCACAGCUAUGGAAGAUUAUUGCAAAGGUGUAAGAAAAGGUGAAGGAGAUCAUCUCAGCAGCAGCAGCAACAGCACAACGUUGGGGUCUAUAGAGACCACCUUAGUUUGCCUAAGACUAAGAAAUUUCUCAGGACACGAGCCUUUCAGUUCAAAAACUAGGUAAGUUCUGUACCAAAAAAGUUAGUUGUAUUAUUAGGGGAUCAAUUUUCCUUAUUCUAGAAUGGACAGCUGGAUUCAUAAUCAAAGGACAAUGUGUUGUUGCCAGCAAUUUCUGUUGAGCAUUUUAUGAACAGAGUUUAGAUUAGCCCCUUAACAGAUGGCUGGUGUCUCCUGUGCCUAGCACAUGUAGAAGCAUCUUUAGCCCGUCCAACCCUCUCUGGUCUUCCUGGCUAUGGCUGGGUAACAUUUGGAUCCACCUCUUAAUGGAGUAUGCCAUAUGCAGUGGGAAAAACAGAGAGGACUGCUUUCAUACCAUAUUCGUGUGAUAGAAUGAAUAAUUCUUUCAUGGGUUCCUCCCCGAGUCCAUCCAGUUCAGAGGAAAGAUGAUUAGGACUUUCCUCCAGCUGACUUUAAGGGAGGGUGGGAUGUUUAGGUAGAGGAGUAUUUACAAAAUCAGGGGAAAGAGUUGCAUUUGGGCUUAAAAAAUUCCUGAAUAUUCUUUUUUAAAAGAAAUGCCUGGUCAAAUACCGUAGGGAAUUACUGAGGAAGAACUUGAAAGAGGGAUGGAGAAGGAAGAGGAAAGAUAGAAAAGAAAAGAGACAGUAGGAGAGAAAAAGAGAGGAGAGAGAGAGAGAGAGAGAGAGAGAGGUUUGUCACAACCAGGUUUUCCCACCCCUACCUAGGGCAUUAGAACCUUCCACUAUUGCAGCUAAGAGAAUAGAGCAUGUGAACAGCUUGUACAUUUACUUAAACACCAAUGGUUUCAGCUUCUCAUACUGCACUCUACUCAAAGGUACAGUAGAUUCAGGGACCUGUCACUUAAGACAACUCUUUACCUUCCAACCAACCAAAGUGCAUUUUACAAUGUCAAUGCCAUUUCACAGAGAGGGGCAUUCAUCAGGGGUGUCUGAAGUCCAGGCCAGCCUGAGAAGGAGGUGCCAAGGCUUGGGAGUUGAGGGACCCAGGUCCUAGCUUUCUCUCCACUGGGCUCCAUUGUGUGAUCAUGGGCAACUGGCUAAACAUCUCUGGACUUUGUUCUUCCAACCUUUAAAAGGAAGCAAGGACCCACUCUUUUUGUUGAAAGAAGCUGGAGAGAGUAACUGCUGAGCCCAGGGAGAGGAGGGCAGAUGCAGGGCCAUUGUAGCCUGCUCUCACGAAUAUAAACACUCUAGAGUUUGGUCAACCCCAAAGGCCCUUUCUUCCUUAUUGGUUACUCAGGAUUUCCAAUCACCUGGGGCUCUCAAAAGUCAACAGGGGCCACUCAGCUAACCUCAGGGGUUUGAUAUAACCGGCAGGUGAAAGAGGCCAAAAAGACCUCCCCAGACUUCAGCGAGUUGUCAGCCCUUAAGCCCUUGAGCCUGCAGCAGGGGAUGAAAUAUCCUUUGGUUUUCAAAUCCCAUUGACCCAGGGCUUAUCCACGAAGGCAGGCUGGAACCUGGAGCAUAGGGCGAAGGCAGAUGUGGCAGGUUGGCUCUAGGCAGAAUCACUUGGUAGACCCGUCCUCGGCACCUGAUUCUACAUCUGGAAAAGUGAGUGAUAACUGUUGGAGUAAUAGUCCUCAGGAGUGCCUGUUAAAAGGGAUCAAAGCUUUGUGCUAAAGGGGAUCCUAGGAAGUAUAAGAGAAAUAGCUGAGAGCAGCCAAAAGGUACAGGAUGUGGAAUAGGGGCACGGAGGCAGCGCUGGUAACCAGCCCUGCACACACUCAUUAAGGCCCAACCAUGAGCUGUGACCAGAGAGUUGGGAUAUGCAUUUGGAAGUUGAAGUCCAAGUUUACAUCUUUCAUUGUGAGUCCUCAGUGGACCCAUCUACCUGUUGAUGGUGAACAGGUCCAAGACUGUAAUGAGGUGUAAGUACCAUUAGGUGGCGAUACAUGAAUGCCUUUCCCAUCUGGUUCCAAAAGAAGAGCACUAUGGGUUUGUCUCCCAGCUCAGGCUUAUAAGCAGCACAUCCAUGUUCCCUGCAUCUGUAGAUCAGCUUUAGCACCCACAGUGCCAGCUGCAAGUGGGGGUAGUGUGUGUGCGUUUUGAGCGCGUGCAUGCACAUAUGCCAAUUGUUGUGUAUUUUCACCUCAAUGUCGGUGACCAGCAAAUGAGGCAUCAGUGACACCCUGGCAGCAACUGACUACUUGGGCCACACUCUGAAAAUGGAUUGCCUCUGUUUUCUCUGCUUGAUCUUCACUGGGGGAAAAGAGUUAAAUUCGAUUUCCAGGAGCUCUCCAUGAGAGCCAACUUCAGCACAAGUUCCCAUUUCCAGAGAGGCUGCCGAGUCUCUCAUUUGUAAAGGCCUCCUCCCUUUGCCCUGAGCGGACUAGCCUUCCCCUACUUCUGCCUCUUUGCCUCUGUGUCACAGUUUUGUGGUCGAUGACACCCUCUCCUUAUCCUGCACCUCCUCCUGGUCUUGCCGACAUGGCUCAAUACUUUGUGCCUAAAUACAGGACUUGUACCAGUCUCCUAUGUCCCCGUGGAGGGCCCAGUGACAAAGGAAAAAAACCAGCCUUUCUCUGCUCAUCUGGGUGCAUAGGGCUCACCCUGAGGGAAGCUGGAAGUGGCAGCAAAUUUUUGUUUAUAAAUAAAAACAAAGACAACUUGUCGUUCCAAAGGAAAAUGCCCCCUGGUGAAAGAAACACUUAAAACCACUGAAGAAUUAGUUUCGUUUUGUCCUUGGUGGCCACCCUGUCAGCAGGUUUCCUUGAUCUUAUGUUGGUGACAGAGUCUCAAACUGAAUGCCAAGGGAAGGAUUCCACACAUAUUCCUUGGAUUUGUAGCUGAGGUACAGCCCUGGGCCUGGGGACAUGGAGAAGACCCAGCCUGCAAAACUCAAUCAUGGCUCUGCAGAUUUUACCCAGUUUGGAGAUCUACUAGCUACCACACUCGACACACACACACACACACACACACACACACACACACACUAUGAUGGAUGUCAUUCUUGUCUGCAACAUGCUCUAGUGACUGGGCCCAAGUCAGGCACAGCUUCUUGUGUGAACUGAAACACCAUUCUUUUCUUCCCUGUGUGAAAAAACAGAAUACAAGGGUGAGUGAUCUUAUGAAAACACUACUGAAUCUGUUCCAUUUUACAUAUUCACAAAAUUGAGGCCACUUAAUGUAAUAGAUAAAAGUAAUACAGAGACAACUACAAUAGGAAACAAAAGGUGAGAAAUGACAGAAGAAACAACACUCAGUGAAUACUGGGACUCAAGAGCAGGAGCAAUGGCAGCCACUUUGGAGUAGGAAGGUGAGCACUAGGAAGGGCCCCCCACCCCCUGCAAUAAGCUUUGAUGGACGGAUGGAAUUUUUUUCAAGGUAUUCUUUUUUAAAAAACAUCUUUAUUGAGAUAUACUUCAAAUACUAUAAAAUUCACUCAUUUAAAGCAUACAAUGCAGUGGUUUUUAGUAUAUUCACAGAGGUACACAACCAUUGUCACAAUCUAAGUUUAGAACAUUUUUGUCGCCUCUAACAGAAACAUGCAGUCAUGAGCAGUCAGCCCCAUUCACCCCUCACUCCCCAGCCCUAGGCAACCACUAGUCUACUUUCUGUCUCUAUAGAUGUGCCUAUUCUAGGUAUUUUAUAUUAAUGGAAUUAUAGUUUUUUGUGGCUGUCUUCUUCAACUUAGCAUAAUGUUUUCAAGGUUUGUCCAUGUUGUAAAAGGUGUCGGUACUUCAUUUCUUUUCAUGGCCGAAAAAUAUUCCAUUGUAUAGAUAUUCCCCAUGUUUGUUUAUUCAUUCAUCUAUUAAUGAACAUUUGGGUUGUUUCCACUUUUUGCCUAUUAUGAGAAAUGGUGCAGUUCUUUCAUCUGCAUGUUUUUAUGUGGACAUGUUUUCAUUUCUCUUGGGUGUAUACCUAGGAGUGGAAUUGCUAGGUCAUAUAUUAUCCCUAUGUCUAACUUUUUGAGGAAUUGCCAAACUGUUUUUCAAAGUGGCUGCACCUUACCGCAUUCCCACCAGCAAUAAAUAAGGGUUUCAAUUUAUCAGUGUCCUUGUUAUAGUCUGUCUUUUUGAUGAUAGACAUCCUGGAGGGUGUGAAGUGGUAUCUCGUUGUGGUUUUGAUUUGCAUUUCCCUGAUGACUAAUGAUGUUGAGCAUCUUUUCAUGUGCUUAUUAGCUAUUUGUAUUUUUUUUUUUUGGUGUUGGGGGACAUAUGUCUAUUCAAAUCCUGGGCCCAGGUCAGGCACAGAUGCUUUUUAAUUCGGUUGUCUUUUUAUUUUUGAGUGGAUGGCUGAGUUUUUGAGAGGUGUAGGAGUGUAGGAGCAAAAGCUUAGAUGUGGAAAAGGUAGGCACUUGUAAGGAGUAAGAAGUAAAACAGAUUGGCUUCAGAGUGUAGCAUUUUCAUGAGAGAUGUGACUCUGCAUUUAACAGAAAAGGC